UAAUGGCAUUUAUCAUUUUUUGCUUCAAAUCAAGAUUACAUUCAGCAUUUCCUGUUCAAAUUUGUUGCUGUGGCUUGAAUAGCAGGGUGGAAAAGGAGUCUUCAGUGGUUUAUUCAUCAAUUAUCAUCAGGACACCCGGCAAAAGAAUUAAUCACAUGGCCUGUAGUGAUUGUGUUUAUUGUGAAAUAAAAG